rnacentral:rRNA from 1 species
CCUACGGGAGACAGCAGUGGGGAAUAUUGGGCAAUGGACGAAAGUCUGACGCAGCGACGCCGCGUGAGGGAUGAAGGUUUUCGGAGCGUAAACCUCUGUCAGGAGGGAAGAAAGCGCAUGCCGCCAAUCAGCCAUGCGUUGACGGUACCUCCAAAGGAAGCGCAGGCUAACUCCGUGCCAGCAGCCGCGGUAAUGCGGAGGGCGCGAGCGUUAAUCGGAAUGACUGGGCGUAAAGGGCGCGUAGGCUGUUGUGUAAGUCUGUGGUGAAAUCCCGCGGCUCAACCGUGGAACCGCCCUUGAUACUGCGAGUCUUGAGUCCGGGAGAGGGUGGCGGAAUUCCAGGUGUAGGGGUGAAAUCCGUAGAUAUCUGGAGGAACAUCAGUGGCGAAGGCGGCCCCCUGGACCGGUAUUGACGCUGAGGCGCGAAAGCGUGGGGAGCAAACAGGAUUAGAUACCCCUGUAGUC